rnacentral:rRNA from 1 species
UACGGGGGGGGCAAGCGUUGUUCGGAAUUACUGGGCGUAAAGGGUCUGUAGGUGGCUUGCUAAGUCAGACGUGAAAUCCCUCAGCUUAACUGGGGAACUGCGUCUGAGACUGGAUGGCUUGAGUGCAGGAGAGGAACGCGGAAUUCCAGGUGUAGCGGUGAAAUGCGUAGAUAUCUGGAGGAACACCGGUGGCGAAGGCGGCGUUCUGGACUGCAACUGACACUGAAAAACGAAAGCCAGGGGAGCAAACGGG